ACAUGCAUCCACGACCGCCGUACGGAGGACGACUUAAUCAAUGAAAAUCCAGUGAGGGUGAGGGGAUUGGGGUGUGUACGAGGUCGGGGGAUGUCCAGAGAUUCCUUUGCCUUUUUGCGUUCGACAGCACCGAAAUCGUGAAUGCGGAACUCUAUUGAUUUUGCAAUAAAAAUGCGCGCGCAUGGCUCUGCUCUGUUCUGCUCUGAGAUUUGGCUCCAAAGCUAACAUAUGCCACACGACCCCCAAACGAAGAGACAUCUCGUGGAGCACGCGACGGUGGCGGCAUGUUGUCGGCGGUCAGUGAGGCGCCAGAGAGCGGAGCGGAGCAGAGCCGAAUGCAUUCUAUUCUCCAUUCGCCAAUCCGAAAUCACUCGCAACGCGAACUCUGCAGAGCAAAGCCAGAGCCAAGCCAAAGCCUUGGGCCCAGUCUGAAAAUUGUCACGAGCCCCAAGCACGGCAGCUGCUAGCUGCUGGUCGCCAAUCAAGCAAAAAUAUAAUUACCAAAAUUACAUAGUAGCAAAAAAGUCAAUAACUAAAUCAGAAAUCAGUCAACGGAUAGGCCCCGCACCAACCGCUAUUAAAAAGAGAAACGGAGAGUUUGCAGAGGGAGCGGCAAAGACAAAGGAGAGACUUUCUGGCCAGGCCGUAGCAGCAGCACGUGAUGCAAUUGGGUUCCGUAUGGGGCCAGAAACGUUUAAAGUGAAAUCAAAUAAAAAUCGAUAGGCCCUAGCUUGCCUACGAAAAGUGUCAUUCCGUCUGGAACUCUACCAAAAACGUGCGCGCAGCCCGUGAAAGUUUCAGAUUCGAGUCCCGCGGUACACCCCACACACAAAAGAAAAGCAUACGCAAACGACGGUGCCAGCGUUAUAUAACACAGAGGCACAGGUUCAGGCUGAGGCUGAGGCUGAGGCUUUUCGCCCUCCCACGCAUAAACUGUUUGCUCAAUCGAUAGACUGCCCUGCUGCCUGCGCCCCCACUGCCUGCCAAUCCGAGAUGAUGUGUGCUCUUAAUUAGAUUACAACCCAGGGAUUAGCCACAGCAAUUAGAGAGAGGAGAGAACAGAACACCUGCCACUUGCCACUUUCCACCUUCCACGUGCCACCCGUUUAAAGUAAAGCAAAGCCAACACACACGAAAUGGGCAAGAAAAAGGUGGCGACAGAGGACCUGGUUGUGCCGCCACAGGACACCCGAAUCUGUGGCACCAUCUGCAUCUGCCAGAUGACACUGGUGCUCAGUUCAGUGGCUCUGGUCUACCUCACGGUGGCCAUCUACAUGCCGUCCACGCGUGCCUUCAAGAGCGGCAUCGAUCCCACUCCCGUGAUGUGCACCACCACGCGGGCAUUGAACAAGGACAACUGCGAGUGGGGCAGCUGCGGAGAGUGGUGCCUGAGCAAGACGUCGGGUGCCUGCAUCCAGAUCUACGUGAAUUUGCGCGCCAACGGCUCCAAUCUCAUCUUCCAGAACUGCACGAAUUCUGCGAACAAAACGUGCUACGGCAUCGACCAGGACCGGGCGGACAAGGCGCGCUGCAUCAAUGACGAGUGCAAGAACCUCACGGGCACAUUCAACUGCACCGCCGGCCAGUGCCUGAACAUCACGGACGCCUUCGAGUGCGUUUUCCACAACAGCGACGCACCCGUCAAGUGUUCCGGUCGUCGCGGCAAGAUCAACUGCAUGGACAUCAGCGGGUUGUACUCGUGCAGCCGCGGGACUUGUCGCAAGAUCCGCACACCCUACAACUGCGACCGUCGGUGUGUGGAUAUCCCGACCAGGAACAAGAACGUGGUGGUGCUCAGCGGGGACAAGGUCUAUCUCUCGCAGUGCCAGAAUGCCAUCAAUGCGGAAACCAUGGAGGAGGUGUGGAACGAGUCCAGCGAAAAUGUGGCCAUGACUUCGUGCUAUUACAUCAAGAACUCUCCGGAUCGCGUGGAUGCGGUGGACUGCAUCAAUGGGUCGACGCUGGAGCACAAUAUGCUCACUGAUCUGACAAAUUUCACAUAUCUGAGCCACCUGCAUGUCUCGGUAGCCACGCCCGUGCCGGAGAUAGCACCGCCCGAUGUCGAUCUGACCAUUUCCAACGAGUCCAAGCUGAUGAUUAAUCUCGAGGGAUGCGUUAACACCCUCAUGGACGAGUGCAAGGAGUUCCUCAAGGACUUUGGCCGUGAUGGCAGCGAUCAUAAUGCACGCGCACGCUUCCCCUGCUUCUAUUCGCCCGGCAAGAAGGAUGUGGUGGUGGCCCGCUUCGACCUGGAGGUUACCUAUCGCCAGUUUGUGUUCGCUUCGGUGGUGCCAUCGGUGCUCUUCGUUGUCUCCUGCUCCAUCCUGCUGAUGUGCCAGAAGACCGUCUACGUGGGCGACGAUGCCAAGAUGCGUUUCAAGGGCUGCGUGGACACGGAGACCAUCCUGAACAAGAACAACGUCGGUGCACCCACCAACGGCGACAUGGGUGGGGGCGGUGGCGAUGAGGUUAUGGCCCUAUGAGAUCCGUCACGUAAGCAAAAAUACCGCCUUUGCCAUUGCCCACAUGUGAAAGAGUGAGAGAUUCAUUCGGUUUCAGGCUACCAGGCAUUCCUCUGCUCCAGGAAGACAGUCCGAUACAUCAGACUGGGGUCUUCGCUUUGCAAUAAGUUGGAGUUGGCCACAACAAACCAGAAGAA